rnacentral:rRNA from 1 species
AUGGCCGCGGCGGCGCCGCCCCGGCGCAUCGGCAGGUCGACCGUCCACAUGGACGGCGGCGGCGCCGACAGGCCGACGCCGCCGGCGAUUGAUGGUGUAGGCGUCACGUCCUCUGGCGCCGGGGCAGGGCGCCGGCCGGGCAUCAACCUCUUCUCGGGGCCGGUAUGUGCCGCCGUGUUCGUCUCCUUUGCGCUCUGCAUCGUCGCCUUCUGCGUCUACUCCUUCCUCGCUCGUCGCCGCGCCAUCUUCGACGCCCGCCGCAGGUUCCUCGGCCGCGUGCGCGACAACUUCAACCGCCUCUCCGAAUGGUCAGCCGACGAGCCAGUGCCGCCGCCUCCUCCGGCAGCGACGCAGCCUCCUCCGGCAUCAGUGACAACGACCGACCGCGUUGACGAGCCACCGCCUCCUCCAGUAGCGACCACGGCCCCCGGCUUUGACGUGCCACCGCCGCCUCCAGUAGCGACAACGGCCACCUGCGAUGACGUACCACCGCCUCUUCGAGCAGCGCCGGCCCGCCCUGCACGGGGAGACACCUCCAACUCUGGCCUAGGUAACUGCCCGGUGUGCCUCGAGCCAUUACACGGGCGUACCAACAUCAUGGCGGCGCAUGAGUGCGCCCAUGUGUUUCACGCGUCUUGCAUUGAGCCAUGGCUCCACAACCGGGGCUCCUGCCCCGUGUGUCAGUACACUGGCAUCCCCACCUCCAUCCCCAUCCCUGACCCCGCCUCCACCUCCACCUCCAUCGGCGACUGUCCGGUGUGCCUCGAGCCCUUGCGCCUUGAUUGUGGCGAUGUCAGGGCGGCACACGCUUGCGGUCAUGUGUUUCACUCGUGUUGCAUUGAGCCGUGGCUCAACCAACAAGGCUCAUGCCCCGUGUGCCGGUGCACUGUCAACCUCACCCCCACCUCUACCUCCACCCCCACCCCCACCUCCUACCUCCAACUCCGGACCCGUUGGCGAAUGUCCAGUGUGCCUUGA